UUCCGCCCUCUCUCUCUGUCCCGCCCACUGCAUACCACACAUAGUUUUUUCUCCCUGCACGUCACUAGUGCGGGCUCCCACAUGAUGAGAGCAGGGCUUACCUGUCCCUCCCCUCUCCCCACUUGGAGGCAACGCCCCCUUUUCCACACUGACCCAUAGCAACGCAGGCUCCUUUACAGACCCCUCCCACCUUACUCCUCCCCCUCUCCUAUUUAAAAAGCCAAGCAGCCCCACAAUGUCAGACAUUGCUGGAUGGCUGCAGCAGCUGUACACACUCUACACUGCUUGUGUUUUCUUCCCAUCUUCCGAUCCCUCUACUGACCUCUCUGGCCACUUUUUGUCAUUACAGGUAAAAAUAUAUAUACAAUCAAUAAACUUUUACGCUGUGACACUUUGGGCCAAAGGUCUUGCUACGCUGUGAUUGAUAUUAGAUGCCAGUCCUCACUCCUCUCUUUACCAUCUGAGGCUUGCCAUGCGUCCCGAUUGCGAUGUCCUUUUAAGGGGUGUGCUGAGCCGUUGAAACUUCUCGGGUGAAAAGUUGUUUGUUACACUUUCUGACUCCACACAUACUUC